rnacentral:lncRNA from 1 species
GUAAAAUGUUAAAUUAUUAUACCAAUUUGCAAGUUUGUGACAGAGAUUACAAAGAUAACAAGUAGCGGAAGACGAAAUUAAAACUAAACAUCAGUUCCUAAACGGCACGAAAACAAACCCGAAGAUAGCGAGACAAAGACAAAGAAGCUGAUUAGCUAUGAGUCAAGCUCAGACCUUACUAACCGAGACUGGUUGAGUACGAGAGCCGGGCACCACGAGCUACCGAGAGAAAGGCGCCCUCAAACCUUGAAACAACGGCUCCUGCAGCUUCCGACCACUCAAACGAAAACAGACUCGGACGAAGAAUCCAAGCAAGAAACCAAACUCAAAACACUCGACAACUAAACCUCCGACGGCACGAGAGAGAACCACCGAGCGACGAUGCCGUCGUUCGUCAAGUCGUCACAGAGAUUGCCGCCUCCAUUCCAACUUGCCGUGACCGUUUACACCCAUUGAACCGAAACCUCAUAUAGAGAUAGCGGACCGAAAGGUGGCUAACCCUCCAGAAGCGCAGCCGCAAGAAAAAGAGCCGUCCGCUAGACCAACAGCUGCACAACAACAAGAACAAGGUCCAAACCACCAAACGAGCUCAUCCAAGAGCCGCAAUACCUUAUUUUGAGAGAGGUGAAGCGUGGAGUACUCAGGACACGGCAAAGAACAAACCGGAACCACCGGAGACUGCCCUGAAGAAGGACAGGAAGAGCAAAGAACUCAUCUGAGGUGCGUGAGCUACCACCACCACGCACUGCCGCGACCAUCGCACGUUACCACUCGAGCUCACCGGAGACAGAGAAACCGACUCCCAGAGAGCCCAUGCAUGCCUACUGGAGACCACCUGUAGAAGAGGAGAGACCGAGCUUCAGAUCCGCGACUUCUGAAGCUGAACCGAACCCUUGCAGCAGAGACCAACCGCCACGCCACUGGACAGAAGAACUCGCCUAGCACGGACCAGCGUCUCUACAACCACCACACACCACCACUCAACCUAAUGCACGAC